GUAAUUCAGAUCUUGUAUCUUGCAGUGAAUUAUUGUCUAAAUAUUCUAGUAUGCUGCGUCAUUGCAUGUAGAAUGACUAAAGAUUUGACAAUUCACAUAGAUACAUGUAGUAUCAAUGAAUACGUUGUAUAAUUUUAUACUUGGAAGAAAGAAUUCUUCGACACUUUAUGUGACUGGCAAUGCUGCGGACGAACCAGCUAGCGAUGAAGUCGUCGAUGAAAAUGGUUUUGUGAUUGUCAACUCUGGAGACAGACAGCAAGAAAGAUGUAUACAGGUAUAUUUAAUACCACUGUUCUUUUUUUCACAAUAAAUGCGCAUUAUAAAUUGUGAAUAUUGCCACUACAACACUGGACACACAGUGGUUGCUUAAUUUCUGGUGGUGACAUUCGUGUGAUGACAUGUAUGUGAUGUUCAGAACUGAUCCACAGAAUAAGAAGGUACAGGCAGAAGUGUAACUCAAGCAAGUAUUUGUCCGCGUUUUUACAAGCAAUUCGUCGUCAAUCACGCCAUCCUGGCUAGUAGAACCGGCACUUUGCACCUACCAAAACGGCAAAACCUGAUAAAAACUUCCAGUUGUACUAGCCAGGAUGGCGUGAGCGAGUUAAAAUUUUCGUGGAC